CCUACGGUGGGCAGCAGUGAGGAAUAUUGGUCAAUGGUCGGGAGACUGAACCAGCCAAGCCGCGUGAGGGAUGAAGGUACAGAGUAUCGUAAACCUCUUUUGUCAGGGAACAAAGGCGGGGACGUGUCCCCGGAUGAGUGUACCUGAAGAAAAAGCAUCGGCUACGCCGUGCCAGCAGCCGCGGUAAUACGGAGGAUGGGAGCGUUAUCCGGCUUUAUUGGGUUUAAAGGGGGCGCAGGCGGUCUGUUAAGUCAGCGGCCAAAGCCCGGGGGUCAACCCCGGCCCGCCGUUGAAACUGGCAGUCUCGAGUUGGAGAGAAGUAUGCGGAAUGCGCGGUGUAGCGGUGAAAUGCAUAGAUAUCGCGCAGAACUCCGAUUGCGAAGGCAGCAUGCCGGCUCCACACUGACGCUGAGGCACGAAAGCGUGGGUAUCGAACAGGAUUAGAUACCCUUGUAGUC
rnacentral:rRNA from 1 species